ensembl:misc_RNA
CUUAGUAAUACAGAUGGGCUCCUCAUUUUCCCACUCUUUGGAAGUCAUCUUCCCCUCCACUUCUGGGUAAC